AGCAGCCGCGGUAAUUCCAGCUCCAAUAGCGUAUAUUAAAGUUGUUGCAGUUAAAAAGCUCGUAGUUGAAUUUCGGGAUCAAUAUAUCGGUCGUGCCAUUGGUACGUACUGGUAUCAUUGGUUUCUCCUUUCUGACGAACCAUGAUGUCAUUAAUUUGGUGUUAUGGGAAGUUUAGGACUGUUACUUUGAAAAAAAUUGAGUGUUUAAAGCAGGCUUUAGCUUGAAUACAUUAGCAUGGAAUAAUGAAAAUAGGACGUUCGAACCUAUUUUGUUGGUUUCUAGGAUCAACGUAAUGAUUAAUAGGGAUAGUUGGGGGCAUUAGUAUUCAAUUGUCAGAGGUGAAAAUUCUUGGAUUUUAUUGAAGACUAACUACUGCGAAAGCAUUUGCCAAGGAUGU
rnacentral:rRNA from 1 species